GGCCAGACUCCUACGGGAGGCAGCAGUGGGGAAUAUUGCACAAUGGGGGAAACCCUGAUGCAGCGACGCCGCGUGAGUGAAGAAGUAUUUCGGUAUGUAAAGCUCUAUCAGCAGGGAAGAAGUUGACGGUACCUGAGUAAGAAGCCCCGGCUAACUACGUGCCGGCAGCCGCGGUAAUACGUAGGGGGCAAGCGUUAUCCGGAUUUACUGGGUGUAAAGGGAGCGUAGACGGCAGUGCAAGUCUGAAGUGAAAGCCCCGGGCUUAACCCGGGAAUUGCUUUGGAAACUGUACGGCUGGAGUGCUGGAGAGGUAAGCGGAAUUCCUAGUGUAGCGGUGAAAUGCGUAGAUAUUAGGAGGAACACCAGUGGCGAAGGCGGCUUACUGGACAGUAACUGACGUUGAGGCUCGAAAGCGUGGGGAGCAAACAGGAUUAGAUACCCCAGUACA
rnacentral:rRNA from 1 species